rfam:Ictidomys tridecemlineatus contig025364, whole genome shotgun sequence.
GUCUACCAUCAUCCCACCCUGAACGCACUUGAUUUCAUCUGAACUCAAAAGCUAAGCUGAGUCAAGGCCUGGUAGGUACUUGGAAGGGAGACCAAGUGGGAGGUAGAAAAUGGAUGGCAUAUU